rnacentral:lncRNA from 1 species
AUGAGAUGUGACUUAAUGUUGCCAAAGAAAUGGGAGUUGAGGUAAUGGGUGUCUCUUAUUAUUAUCAUUAUUAUUAUUAUUAUUUUUUAAGAUUUUAUUUAUUUAUUUGAGAGAAAGAGAGAGAGCAUGUAAGAGAGUGCAAGCAAGGGGAGCAGCAGAAGGAGAGAGAGAAGCGGGCUUCCCACUGAGCAUGAAGCCCCCUGUGGGGCUCAAUCCCAGGACACUGGGACCACGACCUGAGUUGAAGGCAGAUGCUUAACCAACUGAACCACCCAGCGUCCCAUGAGUGUCUCUCCUGAGAAGAGGCCUGUAAGUCCAGAACUUGACUCACCAUGUUCCCUCCUUCCUGUCACAGAGACUGAUGGCACUCCUGGGGGGAUCUUCCAUCAUCCUGCUCCCCUGAAUGAUGGUGACAUUGAGCAAAGCCUCGCUGAUCCAAGACCGGCAAGUGGCACGUGCCACAAACAGAUAACCUGGGCUGAUGCUAGACACUGAGUUUUGGGUUUAUUGAUUACCAGUCUAUCCUGAUGGAUACAGUUGACAGCCAGCCCUACUUUCUAACAGCCACAUUUUACAUAUGUCCCGCGAAGCCUCAUAAACCUGGCGGCUAGGAGUCCUAUUCCAUCUGACAGACCAGGAAGCGGAUGCCUUGAGAGAGGAAGUCACAUAGCUGACCCUGAAACUGGCAUCUCAAACACCCACCACUCCACAGGCUGAGCGGCUUAUAAACAACAGAAAUUUAUUUCUCACAGUUCUGGAGGCUGUAAGUCCAAGAUCAGCAUGUCAGUGUGGUCAGGUUCUGGGAGGACCUUCUUCCGGGUUGCAGACUGCCAUCUUAUCAUGUCCUCAUGGCAGAGGGAGGGCAAGAGAGCUCUUCUAAGGGCAGUAAUCCCAUUCAUGAGGGUUCUACCUGCCUGACAUAAUCAUCUCCCAGAGGGCCCACUUCCUGACACCAUCCCACUGGGAUUAGUGUUUCGACAUAUGAAUUUAGGGGUUGGGGAAGUAAACAUUUAGUCCAUA